rnacentral:snoRNA from 1 species
GAUGUGUGCUCAGAGAAGAUGCCUCACGAAUGGCUUCUGGAUUUUAAAACACGCCCAACAGGAAUCUAGGGUCAUUGUGACAAGGGACACAAAACUUAUGACCUCCUUUAAGCAAAUAUCCUACACGU